rnacentral:rRNA from 1 species
GGACGAACGCUGGCGGCGUACUUAACACAUGCAAGUCGAACGGGGGAUCGUCGGGUUAGCAAUAAUUCGGCGGUCCUAGUGGCGCACGGGUGAGUAACACGUGGGUAACCUGCCCUUGAGUUCGGGAUACCCCCUCGAAAGGGGGGCUAAUACCGGAUACGUUCCUCGGAUCGACAGGUCUGGGGAGGAAAGGUGGCGCAAGCUGCCGCUCUUGGAGGGGCUCGCGGCCUAUCAGCUAGUUGGCGGGGUAACGGCCCACCAAGGCUAUGACGGGUAGCUGGUCUGAGAGGACGACCAGUCACACGGGGACUGAGACACGGCCCCGACUCCUACGGGAGGCAGCAGUGGGGAAUUUUCCGCAAUGGCGAAAGCCUGACGGAGUGACGCCGCGUGUGGGACGAAGGCCU